CCACACCUGACUAAUUUUUGUAUUUUUUGUAGAGACAGGGUUUUGCCAUGUUGCCCAGGCUGGUCUCGAACUCCUGGGCUCAAGUGAUCCACCUGCCUCAGCCUCCCAAAGUGCCGGGAUUAUAGGAGUGAAUGCCCCCAAGGAGUCCCACGGCUCAGGCUUCCUGUCUGACCUUGCGGUCACUUCCUCCCUGUGUCCUGGAGGCUCCUGGGUCCAGCCACCACCCCUGGCCUUGUUUUUAAAAAUAAUUUUAUCAGAUAUGUAUACAUCCCUCAAAAAUGUAUUGUAUGGUUUCUGUUGUUUUUGAGUGGAAAAAAUCAUAUUGGUGAUGUCUUCCACAUUUAAGUUCAUAAUUUAUCUGGAAUUGAUUUUUGUGUAUGUUCUGAGAUAGUGAUCCACAUUGAUUUUUUUUUUCUCCUGUGUGGUUCUAAUUAUCCCUGUACCAUGUAUUGAAUUGGCCCUCUGUUCACCAGUGGUCUGCUGUGCCAUCUCUUUUACAUGUUUAGUUACUACCUGCAUGGGUCUGUUUUUGG
rnacentral:lncRNA from 1 species